AACAUGGAAGCUAGCAAGGGUUGAGUCUGGAAAAAUAGAAUGGGGUCAAAUUAGGGAAAGUCUUAACACCUUGUUUGGCAGUUUGACUUUUAUCCUGUAGGGAGGCCAACAUCUCUCAGUAGUGUGAUCCGUAGACCACUUGCAUCAGGACAACCUGUAAUGCUUUACUUAAAAUCUACAAUCACCCCCGGCCUUCUAAAUGAGAAUCCUCAAGGGUAGGAAUAUGCAAUUGUAACAAGCUCCCUUAGGUGGAUUCUUCAUUAAACUUCAUUAAGUUUUGAAAAACACAGUAUGUGAAUGAUGGGAGGUCAAAGAUUUUUUUUUAAAGGUUCUCUGAUCAAGAAUUUAGUACUUUUAUCUGGAAAUAGGUGUGUAUACAACUCUGCACAUUCAUCAAGCUCUACACUUAAGAUUAGUGAACAUUAGACACUUUAUGUGUUUUGCCAUUUUUUAAAAAUUGGUGGUAUAAAAUUCAAAUCACAAACUGAGGAUGAUGGCCAUUGGGAGAGAAGAAUUUCUCAAUCAAGUCUUUUUGAAGUCCUGUCUUUUUUUUUAAGAUUUUAUUUAUAUAUCCAUGAGACAGACACAAAGAGAGGCACAGACACAGGCAGAGGGAGAAGCAGGCUCCUUGCAGGGAGCUUGAUGUGGGAUUCGAUCCCCAGACCCGAGAUCACGCCCUGAGCCAAAGCCCGGAACCAAAGUCAGACACUCCCCCAGGCAUUCCUGAAGUCCCGUCCUUACUGUAGUCUUAUACCAGUGUUAUAUUAAUUAAACAAGGCAAAUAGACUAAGGUGGCUUUAAUGCUUAGCAGCCUAUGUGAGGAAACCAAAAACUAAGCCCGUAAUUCCAUCAGUGUUAAAAAACUGAAGACUAAGGACAGCCAGGCACAAAUGGCCAACUAGUCUUUUCCAAGUAAGGCAACCACUUGAGCAACAGCCAAUCAAAUCAUUUCUUUGGUUUGCUUUGUGAUCUUAUAAAAGUCUUUUCCCUAGUUCCUGUCACCAGAGGCAUCUAACUACUUCCCAUUUGGUUGGUACUGCCCAACUGAAAUUGAUCUUUGCUCAAAUAAACUCUUAAAACUUUUAA